AUGAAUAUGGCUUAGUGGUAGAGUGCUUGCCUAACAUGCAUGAGGCCCUGGGUUCAAGUCCUUGGUACCAUA
rnacentral:tRNA from 1 species